GCCGGGCCGUGGGGCUCCCCCCCCCGCGGCCGAGCUGUCCCGCUCGGCUCCCCCGCUCCCUCCGGGCAGCAGGAGCGGGGACGAGCCUCCCUGACCGUGUCCAGCCCUCAGAGAGCAGCGAUGCCUGCCUGAGUCUCGGUGCAAAAAAUCUCCAGACCCACCAACUUCUGGUGCAUCUCCUGAAGCGUCAGCAAUGAUACUCAGAUGAAGGGGCAGGGAAAGAGAGAUGUGAAAGAACAGUCUCUCAAGUUUGUCUGGAGGGCCUGAUUUCUCUUUCUGGUGCCAUUAAUAAUGGAACAAAACCACAUUAACGAUUGCAACAACAGCCAGAUAGGAGCCAGAAAGCUCUUUUUGCUGUCUUAAUAUGCUGCAUGAGUACAUUGAAGUGCUUUAUACAGAAGAUUUGCUCUUUUUUUCUCACCCUUUUGUACUGAUGUAUUUUUUGGACUUGAUAAAAUGCUUGGCCUUGUCUUGUGCUGAAGAAAAGAUAAAAAUGACCAGAGUUAAAUAUGCAAAGAAAUUACAGACCUGAGAUAGCCCUUUAGAGGUAAUUUCAUCCUGCAAGAAACCAUAGGAGAAAAAUCAGUGAAGAAAUGUUAACAGCGACUGCAGGACAUUGCAUCUGCCUGGUCAGACAGGCUGCAGAGAAUGCUCACCAUUGUUUUUGGUUGAUGAUGCAGUGAGCUGGCAAAAAGCUGGCAGAGAGCAGGAGAGAGCUGCAGGCUUCCAAACCAGCAAAGAAAUCUGCACCUCGCACGGGAGUAGUCAGAAAAUAAGUAACAUUCUGGUGGCCCCCCCUCUUUCACAUGAGGCUAGUCAUCUGGGCUUAGCUUAUCCUGGUCUUCAGGAAGUGAGAAGAACAUUUGUUGUGAGGUCUUGGUGUGUAAAGACAUGCCUUCCAUUUACAGAAGAUGAAAAAGGAUUUUUCAGCAUCUGAAGUAGAACCUGGUCAAAUCUGCCUUUGCAUGUCGGUGGUUUCUUUUUGCCUUUUAUUUUUUCUGCAAAGGCACAGUACAAAAAGCCUCUUUCUUACCUCAAAUCAAUCAAUAGCUAUAAGAAGAAAGACAAUGGGCAGUUCUGUCAGAAUUCAUCCACUUUUUAAGCUAUCUAGACUGCCUAAAUCUUCUUGUAGGUUUGGCCUGUGGGUUUGCAGGUUAGGGAAAUAGAGGAAAAAAAUCAAAUGAUGAUGCAGAAAUGUUUAUCUGAGAAUGCACAGAUGCUUAGUAGAAGGGAGACAUUUGGAAACAGUUUUAUCAAAUGGGAGGUGCUCAAAGCACACCUUUGAAUGGGGGCGGCUGACAUCAGCCCAUUGGGUGCUGCUGUGGCAGUAAAUAUCUUCCGAGACAAUACAUCCUCCCCUCUAUGUUCACAGAGAGUUGAAUAUCCCCAUGUUCUUUCAAUGGGAAACCAAAGCACAAAGUUGCUUUUUUCUAGGAAGUUUAUAUCAAAACAGAGAAAAUAAAUCCUCACUAUCUUGAGUCUCUGAGGUGGUCUUUAUCCUGCCUCUCUGAGCAACCUGUUCUAGUAUUUCACCAUCCUCACUGUAAAAAUUUUGUUCUUUAUAUCUAAUAGAAUUUUAAUCUCAUCCAAUUAAAAAACAAGUUGUCUUUUCCUUUCACUACACCUACUCCUUGGCCUUCCUCUCACUCUAUCUUUACACAGCUGAGCAGUGUCCCUGUACUCUUCCCAGGAUACCUGUUCCUGCUCUGCUGCCUGUGCAUUUCCUUCUCGCUCUCUAGUUUCUCUAGCAGGUCUCGACUCAGCCGUGAUGGUCUCGUGCCCUCCUUUCCUGAUUUCUUAUACUUGGGGAUUGAGAGCUCUUAUGCUCUAUGAAAAAUGUCCUUUAAGAUCUCUCAGCUCUCUUCUGCUCCCUUGCCCCUGAGGGCAGUUUUCCACAGGGGUCCUAUUGACUAACUCUUUGAAGGAUUGGAGGUUAUUUUUCCUAAUUCAGGGUCCUGAUUUUAUUCUUUGCCUGACCUUUAUCCCUCAGGAUAUGAACUCCACUAGUGCAUUAUCACUGCAACCCAGGCUGCCUCCAGUCUUGAUGUUGCUGAUUAACUUGUGUUGUAGUGGUAAAAAUAAAGUAAAAUAAUAAUGCAAUUCCAAUUAAAUAAAAAAAUUUAUGUUCCACUUUGGACACCAGAAGUUCAGUCAUUCCUUCAACCCUUCAGCUCACAUCAAUGUCCCAAGUUAGUGUCUAUUGGUUAAUGUUAUAUCAUACAAAGAAUAGAUAAGAAGAGACUUUAUCACAAGGAAGAUUCAUCUGACCAUUUUCCAAAUUUCUAGUUCAACUUUGCUGACCCACGGUAUUUUUCACUGUUUUUCAGUAUCAACAUAAAUAUUCUCAAUUGUAGAAUUCAGCAAAGUGAAUGGCACAUCUAUCCACUAAGUGAAGAAUGAAAACAAUCUCAAAAAGAGAAGGGACAAGUGCAAAAGGGUGUCUUCCCUUUUUUGCUUUUCCCCCCUUUUUUCCCCCUUGCUCCUCUCCAUUGCUGUCCAUUACCAGAAUAGCACAAGCUUUUUUCAACUCAAAUCUUGGGAUGCUCCAGGUGCUCAAG